UGUUACAGCUAUAUCACUCUGCAGCCUAAGACCGGUUACUCACUGAAGCUAAGAAGGGCUGAGCCUGGUUGGAACUUGGAUGGGAAACCGCAGAGGAAAACUAGGUUGCUGUUGGAA
ensembl:rRNA 5S_rRNA 5S ribosomal RNA